UGGCCCAAUAUUUGACACGUAAGAGGGGACAAAGGAAAAGAGGUUGGAGAGGAAUGUCUUCACCGGAGGAGGUUGAAGAAUUGUAUAAGAAAAACGUUUUCCCAUCAAUUUCUUCCUCACGAAAUUCACCGACUAGGUUCAUGGUUGCUUCUAAAAACGAUGUUGUGAUAUUUUUUUCUGUCUCCUUCUCUCCUCUUUCGUAUGUUCAACUUGAAACACACAGCUAACCUUGAUCAAUGUGUAUAAAUCUUUCUACUAAUUUUCUCAAUUAAAAAAGUAUCACAAUCUCUGACUCUCUCACACGUUAGAC